rnacentral:rRNA from 1 species
UACGGAGGGAGCUAGCGUUGUUCGGAAUUACUGGGCGUAAAGCGCGCGUAGGCGGCUUUGUAAGUUAGAGGUGAAAGCCCGGGGCUCAACUCCGGAAUUGCCUUUAAGACUGCAUCGCUAGAAUCCGGGAGAGGUGAGUGGAAUUCCGAGUGUAGAGGUGAAAUUCGUAGAUAUUCGGAAGAACACCGGUGGCGAAGGCGGCUCACUGGACCGGCAUUGACGCUGAGGUGCGAAAGCGUGGGGAGCAAACAGG